rnacentral:rRNA from 1 species
GAUGAACGCUGGCGGCGUGCCUAAUACAUGCAAGUCGAGCGAACCACUUCGGUGGUGAGCGGCGAACGGGUGAGUAACACGUAGGUGAUCUGCCCAUCAGACGGGGACAACGAUUGGAAACGAUCGCUAAUACCGGAUAGGACGAAAGUUUAAAGGUGCUUCUGGCACCGCUGAUGGAUGAGCCUGCGGCGCAUUAGCUAGUUGGUAGGGUAAAGGCCUACCAAGGCGACGAUGCGUAGCCGACCUGAGAGGGUGAACGGCCACACUGGAACGGAGACACGGCCCAGACUCCUACGGGAGGCAGCAGUAGGGAAUCUUCGGCAAUGGGCGAAAGCCUGACCGAGCAACGCCGCGUGAAUGAUGAAGGCCUUCGGGUUGUAAAAUUCUGUUAUAAGGGAAGAACGACUUUAGUAGGAAAUGGCUAGAGUGUGACGGUACCUUAUGAGAAAGCCACGGCUAACUACGUGCCAGCAGCCGCCGUAA